UACGGGGGGGGCAAGCGUUGUUCGGAAUUACUGGGCGUAAAGGGUGUGUAGGCGGUUGUUUAAGUUUGGUGUGAAAUCUCCCGGCUCAACUGGGAGGGUGCGCCGAAUACUGAAUGACUAGAGUGUGGGAGAGGUGAGUGGAAUUCCUGGUGUAGCGGUGAAAUGCGUAGAGAUCCGGAGGAAGACCGGUGGCGAAGGCGGUCUGCUGGGCAGUUUCUGACACUGAGGCGCGACAGCGUGGGGAGCAAACAGG
rnacentral:rRNA from 1 species